rnacentral:rRNA from 1 species
AUGAACGCUAGCGACAGGCUUAACACAUGCAAGUCGAGGGGCAGCACAGGUAGCAAUACCGGGUGGCGACCGGCGCACGGGUGAGUAACGCGUAUGCAACUUACCUAUCAGAGGGGGAUAACCCGGCGAAAGUCGGACUAAUACCGCAUGAAGCAGGGGCCCCGCAUGGGGAUAUUUGCUAAAGAUUCAUCGCUGAUAGAUAGGCAUGCGUUCCAUUAGGCAGUUGGCGGGGUAACGGCCCACCAAACCGACGAUGGAUAGGGGUUCUGAGAGGAAGGUCCCCCACAUUGGUACUGAGACACGGACCAAACUCCUACGGGAGGCAGCAGUGAGGAAUAUUGGUCAAUGGGCGUAAGCCUGAACCAGCCAAGUCGCGUGAGGGAUGAAGGUUCUAUGGAUCGUAAACCUCUUUUAUAAGGGAAUAAAGUGCGGGACGUGUCCCGUUUUGUAUGUACCUUAUGAAUAAGGAUCGGCUAACUCCGUGCCAGCAGCCGCGGUAAUACGGAGGAUCCGAGCGUUAUCCGGAUUUAUUGGGUUUAAAGGGUGCGUAGGCGGCCUUUUAAGUCAGCGGUGAAAGUCUGUGGCUCAACCAUAGAAUUGCCGUUGAAACUGGGAGGCUUGAGUAUGUUUGAGGCAGGCGGAAUGCGUGGUGUAGCGGUGAAAUGCUUAGAUAUCACGCAGAACCCCGAUUGCGAAGGCAGCCUGCCAAGCCAUGACUGACGCUGAUGCACGAAAGCGUGGGGAUCAAACAGGAUUAGAUACCCUGGUAGUCCACGCAGUAAACGAUGAUCACUAGCUGUUUGCGAUACACUGUAAGCGGCACAGCGAAAGCGUUAAGUGAUCCACCUGGGGAGUACGCCGGCAACGGUGAAACUCAAAGGAAUUGACGGGGGCCCGCACAAGCGGAGGAACAUGUGGUUUAAUUCGAUGAUACGCGGGGAACCUUACCCGGGUUUGAACGCAUUCGGACCGAGGUGGAAACACCUCUUCUAGCAAUAGCCGUUUGCGAGGUGCUGCAUGGUUGUCGUCAGCUCGUGCCGUGAGGUGUCGGCUUAAGUGCCAUAACGAGCGCAACCCUUGCCACUAGUUACUAACAGGUUAGGCUGAGGACUCUGGUGGGACUGCCAGCGUAAGCUGCGAGGAAGGCGGGGAUGACGUCAAAUCAGCACGGCCCUUACAUCCGGGGCGACACACGUGUUACAAUGGCGUGGACAAAGGGAUGCCACCUGGCGACAGGGAGCGAAUCCCCAAACCACGUCUCAGUUCGGAUCGGAGUCUGCAACCCGACUCCGUGAAGCUGGAUUCGCUAGUAAUCGCGCAUCAGCCAUGGCGCGGUGAAUACGUUCCCGGGCCUUGUACACACCGCCCGUCAAGCCAUGGGAGCCGGGGGUACCUGAAGUCCGUAACCGAAAGGAUCGGCCUAGGGUAAAACUGGUGACUGGGGCU